rnacentral:rRNA from 1 species
AGUGAACGCUGGCGGUAGGCCUAACACAUGCAAGUCGAACGGCAGCACAGGAGAGCUUGCUCUCUGGGUGGCGAGUGGCGGACGGGUGAGGAAUACAUCGGAAUCUACUCUGUCGUGGGGGAUAACGUAGGGAAACUUACGCUAAUACCGCAUACGACCUACGGGUGAAAGCAGGGGACCUUCGGACCUUGCGCGAUUGAAUGAGCCUAUGUCGGAUUAGCUAGUUGGCGGAGUAAAGGCCCACCAAAGCGACGAUCCGUAGCUGGUCGGAGGGGAUGAUCGGCCAGACUGAAACUGAGACACGCGGGAGACUCCUACGGAAGGCCGCAGUGGGGAAGAUGGGACAAUGGGCGCAAGCCUGAUCCAGCCAUACCGCGUGGUGGAAGAAGGCCUUCGGGUUGUAAAGCCCUUUUGUUGGGAAAGAAAUCCAGCGGGCUAAUACCCGGUUGGGAUGACGGUACCCAAAGAAUAAGCAUCGGCUAACUUCGUGCCAGCAGCCGCAGUAA